CCCUACGGGGUGCACCAGGCAGCAAGUAAAGCAGGGUCAAUCCGAUUUUGAGCUUGCGCAGGUUGUUCCCGGCACUGAAGAGGAAGCGGUUCAUGUCAUGAUUAUCCAAAAAUGCCGGCCGACUGAAGUUCGCGGGGAAGUAUGCCAAGCUGCCCUGCAGGUAACCCGCCAGUUUAGAAAGUGGCCAAGUCCCCAGGGCAAUCGUUUCGCGCAGCGCCUGGCAGGUCAAAAAGUCCAAUGUGCCAUCCAUGCCCCCUGAAAAGCCAAGUUGGGCAUCAGCCGGCAGGGUCACCUCGCCGAAGGUCCAGCAAUCCGGGUUAACUUCACGGCAAGCCCGGCGGAAAUCGAUCCAGAAAUCCUGCUCAGGUCCGCUGGCAUAAUCCAAGCGGUAUCCAUCCACACCCAGCCGCAGCCACUUUUGGGCACAACCCAGCAGGAAUUGGCGGGGGGGC
rnacentral:rRNA from 1 species